UUGACUGCAUCGGAAUUCACAGGACAAGUGAACUUCUCCAUCCAUUGUUGUAAGUGUCAAAGCACCGCCUGAAAAGGCUCUCUUGACAACAUAUGGACAUUCAUAGCUUGGGGUUCACUUGCCCCUGGAAUCGGGCGCGAAAGACAAGACUUUCUUGAGCACAAGGUCACCUUCUCGGAACACACGAGGCUUGACCUUCUUAUCGAAUGCU
rnacentral:lncRNA from 1 species